GAAAAGUGAGUCUGUCAGCUUUGCCAAGUUGACUGCCCGAAACCAAAGUAAAAGUUUGUAAUUAUUUGUACUUACAGAAGAAGAAUUUAGUGAGUUGAUCCACACUUAAUUAGGAGCAGCGGGCAAGUCAUUCUUGGCUAUCAAACAAGACUCCAAUC
rfam:Citrus sinensis cultivar Ridge Pineapple sweet orange scaffold00079_contig_13, whole genome shotgun sequence.